GAGGGUAUAACUCAGCGGUGGAGUGCAUGCCUUAGCAUGCAUGAGGUCCUGGGUCCAAUCCCCAGUACCUCCA
rnacentral:tRNA from 1 species